rnacentral:rRNA from 1 species
CAAAACGCGUGGCUGCUGGGGAUCACACACCGCCCACGACCGCGUCUUUAACUUCAUCCUCACUCGAUCCCCAUUUUUGCUUCUUCUCGUGCGCAUAGGUUCAUCUCCGGCGCAGAGAUCCUCAACUCCGUCGCUCUCAUCUCGCCUCUAAAUCGUCAAUCUCAAGCGCCCCCACGCCUCCUCGCCUCUCGCCACCCGAGCAGGGAGGAUUGCGCAGCUGGGCGCGCUCAUCGCCAUGGGCCGCCUGCGGCUGGGUGCGCCCCUCUCCAUGGCCGGCGCAGCCGGAUGCGCUAGCCGCCAUGGUGAGCUGAAAUUGACCACGACGACGGCGAGUUUUUGCUACAACCAUGUUUUCGUUUUGCUGAAACCGGCCAAUGUUUUUUCUACCACCUACCCCACCAAAAAUCUGCUUCCAUAGUGUUUUUUGCUAGAACCGGCGAACGAUUUUGCUACAACCGUUUUGGCUUUUUGUUACUACCGGUGUUUGUCAAUUUUUUGCUACAUUCCAUCUCCAUCUGUCAGUUUUUUGAUGCAACCUUUGUCAAUUUUUGUUACCACAGGUGUUGUUGAUUGCUACAUUCAUUUUUUUCACAAGCUGCCACAUGGCCUGUUUUUUCGGUCGAUAUUUUUGCUACAAACAUAUUUUGAUUUUGCUGAAACCGAAGACAUUUUUUGCUACAUCCACCCAUGCCGGUGUUGGUCGACAGCGGGCUGUGGUUUUUUUGGCCGCAACCGUCUUGGAGGUUUGCUACUACCGGAGAUGAAAUUUGCUACUACCAGAGUUUUGCUAAGAUGGUGGUAGAAGGCAGACACAACGGUGCUGCGACCUUGACGGCGAUGUGGAACCUGCGGGGGAAAACGAUUGGUGGCGGGAAUGCUUUGACCAUGGAUGUCGAGAGCUGGAAUUCGGGGGAUUUGCUUUUUGGAAUUGCGGCUGCCCCCGAAGAGCAAGAAUGGAUCGGCAACGAGCUUCGAGGCCGGCGGUGUCGUGGUUCUAAGUCUGACAGUAGAAUAGGGGGGUAGGAAUGGAGAGGCAAGAUCCUAGCUAUGGAGUAGUUGUAUACGCAAGAUGUUUACGAGUUCAGGCCCUUCUCGGAGGAAGUAACAGCCCUACGUCUCGGAGCCCGGAGGCGAUCGACUGGAUUAUAUGAGUAUGAGUUACAGGGGUGCGAACCCUUUACACUGAGGAGGGGGUGGCUUAUAUAGAGUCCGCCAGACCCCUCCGGCCCUCAGUUAUGCAGGGUUUAAGGUACAUUAAGGUCGGGCGUUACUGGUAACGCCACAAAUAAAGUGCUAUGAUGACCAUAAAGGCUACUUAAUGACCGACCGUUGCGUGCAGAGUGACUUUAGAUCUCCUGGCGGUCGAGUGGUUGGCUUCAUGGUCGAGUGUCUUCGAGUCCGUCGAGUGGAAACCUUCCAGGUCGACUGAAAGGUGGUUUCUUCUAGAGAUGUCCUUGGGGAGGGUAUCUUGGACAGGUCCAUGACCCUACCCUAGGUACAUGGCUUCAUCAUUAGCCCCCGAAAGGAUCGAGGUUUGAGUGGGGAAGGAGUUGAACACACCUCCGACCCAUUUUCGUGUGAUGAGUAUGUCUUGUUCUGGAUCAAUGAACUUAGGUGACGCCACCAACUUCUUUUUCAGUCGCCUUGAUCCAUUCUUUGUAUCCGUCGAGUGAAUUUUCUUUACUUGGAGAACUCCGAAGACAGAGCGGAGGAAAUCUCCUGUCUGACAAGUUGCUCUGCAGCUCGCGGAUUUAGCGGGAUUCAAAUUUCGGGAAGCGCGCGGGGCGGAGGAGGCCGCGGUAAUCGGAUGGGAUAAGGCAGGGACGCCUCGAUCUCUGCGCCACCUUUUUUGCCACGUAUCGCGCGCGCGACUGUUGCGGGAUUUGACAGGAUCGCCCGGGCCUACAAGUCAGUCACUCGAAAGUAACCUCAUAUAAGGUGCCGGACGGGGUUUUUUGAACAGUGCACUCUCAUUUCCUCCCCUCUUCCUCAGACUUAUCCGCCGCGUUCGCUUCCAUCUCAGCACCGCUGCUCCGUGCGCGCCUCACCGGCGACGAUGGUGAAGGAGAAGACGGCGGCCCUGGAGCGGGCAAAAAAAGCGACGGCGAAGGCGAAGGGAAGGGCGACCAGUCGGGGCGGAUCUUUGUCGAGGGCCGGCCUGCCGCAGGGCUGGAUCCAGGGCGACUGGAUCCGCUCGACAAUUCGUCAAGAAGACCUUGACGACCUGACCAAUGGAGGACUGAUCCCCCAUGGAUCGGCGCGGCUCCCGGGGAAGGAGUCUGAGCCGCAGCCUGAGGAGGGUGAGGUCGUACUCUUGGCCACCCAUGUCGACCGUGGGUUUUCUUUGCCGCCUCAUCCUUUCUUUCGGGGAUUUCUGAAUUUCUUUGGGGCGCAACUCCACCACUUCACACCCAACACCAUCGUGUACCUCGCUGCUUUCGUGUCUUUGUGCGAGAAUUUCUUGGGUUGUCGGCCUCAUUGGGGUCUUUUCAAGCAUAUUUUCACCUGUCGCUCCCAGACGGUGAAAAAGGCCAAUCCGAGUGAUGAGAGAACACAAGUGAUUCAGAUGUGUGGGGGUCUUGGGGUUCAGAUGAGGGGUAAAAGUUCUUUUCCGGCCAUGAUCCUUCCCGACUCGGUCCGUGGAUGGCAGUCGAUCUGGUUUUACUGCAAAGACCAGCCGACGCCAGGGCGGUCGACCGGAAUCCCUCCUUUUUCUGUGGACCGAGUGAGGAAGCCUUCCUCUUUGAAGGUGAUCCCGGAAGAGAAGGCGCAGGUUAAGGUGUUGGUCGAACGUGUUGUCCAGCUUAUCCGUGACGGGGGGACCGGCAUGGAUCUCUUGGAGGUCUUCCUCCGACGACGCAUCCAGCCGCUUCAAUAUCGAGAUCAUCCGAUGUGGAUGUAUUCUGGCACUGAAGACACCACUCGGAUCCACCCGGAGGAGGUCGAGGAUGCCACGCUGGAGAGGUGGCUGGCUGCCAUCACAGGGAACAAGGACAACCCCCGAGGGGCCAGGAGGAUUCCUCCACUCGACCAAUCAUACGAAGUAGACAAGGCCACUACUGAGAUGUACUCGAUGCCCAACAGGGCGCAAGAACAGGUCGAGGAGGAGGAGGCGAGCGGAGGUGAAAGUCAGGAGGAGUGGCAAUCUGAUGGUGAGGGGGAUGAAGAUGACGAUGGCUCCAGUGAAGAGGAGGAGGAGGAAGUCGAUCCUCCUCGGACGGAAAGGCGAUCCAAGCUCACCCACGACCCCGCAGUCGAGCGUGGCAAAGCGACUGUGCCUGUUGGGCAGUCGUCGAAGCGCCCUCGGACGACCUCUCCAGCGUCGACUGAAAAAGCGCCAAAGCAUCCCUGAGCGGCGUCAUCAAAGCCGCCGAAGGCCUUGCCCAAGAUGAGAAUGGCCAUUCCCACCAUUUCCGGUGCUGCUACCUCCGAGACCUCCACCAGGAACGAAGACCAGGAAAUGGAAGGCGCUGCCACCUCCAACCUUGCUCCUCCUCAUGUCAUUGAUCUUGCUAAUGAUGAUGACGAGGCGCCGCUGAGGCCGAGGAGGAUUAGAAAGGCGCCGGCUGAGAAGACUACUCAGAUUGCAUCAGCACCUGAGAUGCUGGUUCAGGAGGGUGGUAACAUCACUCGGACUUCAGUGUCCUUUGCUGUGCCGCUGACGAGUGCUCGAACUUCGUCGUCGAUUGCUGAUCUGCCUUCCCUUUUUGCCACACACCACGUCCCAGAGGACCAAGCGGGUGAUGCUAAGGAGGCUAUACGCCAGGCGGGGAUCAUGAUGGAGCAGGUGAAGGCGAUCCGGGACGCCAGCCAAGCGGCCUAUGAUGCAAGCUCAGCUCUUCAGAGCAACGUCCAGUUUAGUUGGUCACCGCUUGUUCUGUUAGGAUAUGGUAUCUGAAAACUCUUCUUUCUGAAGAUCUUUGUAUCUGUACACCCACUGGGUGUGUCGAUUGAAUUUUUGGAUUGGUGGGGGCACACCGAGUGCACCCACUGGGUGUAGUCCCCGAGACUAUGGUGGACUGCUGGCAGUCGACUGUAGUCUUUGUAUUUUGAAUUUCUUCACUCGGUUUGGUCGGACCAUGUCGAAUGGAAUCUUGGAACCAGUGGGGGCACGCUGAGUGCACCCACUGGGUGUAGUCCCCGAGACCAUGGUCGACUGCUGGCAGUCGACUAAGGUCUGAAGAACCUCUCUUUUUUUUAGAUCAUGAUGAUACCGUGGCUGACUGCUGGCAGUUAGCUAUGGUUUAGGAUCAUAACCUUUUUGUCUCUUUCGGUCGACUGAUCGAACCGAGUCGGUAGAACCAGUGGGGGCAUGCUGAGUGCACCCACUGGGUGUAGUCCCCGAGACUACUGUUGAAUAUUUUGAUUCAGAUGUAGUCUUAGAAAUGCUACGAUUUUGCUCUUAGUCACUCGGAAGCAACCUAUCUUUGAUGUCUGUCGACUGAUUUUUUGCAGAAAUCUUGCAAGCUAGUGGCUCGCUAUACUGAAUUGGAAAACAAGCAUAUCCAACUCGACCUUGACUUGAAGCUUGUUCAAGAGAACUUUAAGAAGGCGAAGGAUGAAGCAAAAGAUAAACUGAAGGAGGCUCUGAAGAAGAAGGACCAUGACCUUGCCGAGGCGCAGAAGGCGGCUUUGGACAAAACGAAGCUUGCGGAAGAGAAACUGGCUUCAGUCGGAAAACUUGAAGAGGAGAACGCCAAUCUGAAGGCUGCUCUCGACGCGGCCAACAAGGAGGUUAGCCGACUGAAGAAUGACAAGAUAGCUCUGAGUGAUAAGGCUAGCAAACUGGCGGGGAAGAAGAACGAUUUGGAGGCUUAUCUGGGAGGGCUCGCCGAGAAGUUAUUCAUCAUGCUUGAAGAAUUCUGCCAGAACUUCGAGGAGGAGACCAGUCGAGUGGAGACAAGCUUGGACCCCAUUAACUCUCCUGUGAAGGAUGAAGCCACUAUGAACGUGCUCCGACUGGAGUCUCGUGUUGCUGGUGUGGUUGACUAUCUCGCUCGACUGAAGGUUGCGGUGUUGCGAAUCGACACGACACUCUGGCCAGGAGAGACGCUUCAAAAUGACCUUGAGUCUCUGAUGACUCGACUGAAUGACGUUCCAGGUCGAGUGCAAGAAUGGAAGAAGUCUUCCACCAGGUGCGGUGCUGACGUCGCUCUGUCUCUGGUCCGUGUUCACUUCAAAGAUGCGCGAGAGGACAAGCUGGCGUCCAUCAAAGUGGCCAAUACCAAGAAGCAUGACUUCCAAUCUUUCAUGGAGACCUUCAUUGCUGCUGCCAGUCGGAUUGCUGACGGAAUCGACCUGGACCAGUUUGUCGCGCCCUCCAGUCCUCCACCUGAGGAGUAAAAAACUUCUAUGAUUUGUCUUAAAUUUGCCUUGGAACGCCGAGUGGUUUUGUAAUCGAUAAACUUUUACAGGCUUGACGCCUGAGCACUUCUGAAUCUGUAGGAUGCUAUCUGAACUUGGCUUAUCGUUGAAUAUGCUUGC